rnacentral:rRNA from 1 species
GACAGAGGUGCCAAGCGUUAGGCGGAAUCACUGGGCUUAAAGCGUGUGUAGGCGGAUGUCUAAGUACCUUGUGAAAUCCCACGGCUCAACCGUGGAACUGCUUGGUAUACUGGACGUCUUGAGCCAGCUAGGGGCUACCGGAACAAAUGGUGGAGCGGUGAAAUGCGUAGAUAUCAUUUGGAACGCCAAUGGUGAAAACAGGUAGCUGGGGCUGUGCUGACGCUGAGACACGAAAGCUAGGGGAGCAAAUGGG